CUACGGGUUGCUCCAGUGGGGAAUAUUGGACAAUGGGGGAAACCCUGAUCCAGCAAUGCCGCGUGUGUGAAGAAGGCCUGCGGGUUGUAAAGCACUUUCGGUUGGGAGGACUGCUUCUAGCACUAAUAUUGUUGGAAGUUGACGUUACCUUCAGAAGAAGCACCGGCUAGCUCCGUGCCAGCAGCCGCGGGAAUACGGAGGGGCAAGCGUUAAUCGGAAUUACUGGGCGUAAAGCGCGCGUAGGCGGCUAGAUCAGUCGGGUGUGAAAGCCCCGGGCUUAACCUGGGAACUGCAUCCGAUACUGUCUAGCUUGAGUACAGGAGAGGAGAGUGGAAUUCCACAUGUAGCGGUGAAAUGCGUAGAUAUGUGGAGGAACACCAAUGGCGAAGGCAGCUCUCUGGCCUGAUACUGACGCUGAGGUGCGAAAGCGUGGGGAGCAAACAGGAUUAGAUACCCCUGUAGUC
rnacentral:rRNA from 1 species